rnacentral:misc_RNA from 1 species
UCCAGUUUGUCACUGGCAGUAUCCUUAAAGUUCCCACCCGAAGUGCUGGCAAAUAAGGAAAAGGGUUGCGCUCGUUGCGGGACUUAACCCAACAUCUCACGACACGAGCUGACGACAGCCAUGCAGCACCUGUAUCAGAGUUCCCGAAGGCACCAAUCCAUCUCUGGAAAGUUCUCUGUAUGUCAAGGCCAGGUAAGGUUCUUCGCGUUGCAUCGAAUUAAACCACAUGCUCCACCGCUUGUGCGGGCCCCCGUCAAUUCAUUUGAGUUUUAGUCUUGCGACCGUACUCCCCAGGCGGUCUACUUAUCGCGUUAGCUGCGCCACUAAAGCCUCAAGGGCCCCAACGGCUAGUAGACAUCGUUUACGGCAUGGACUAC